GCUGUUGUGGUGUAGUGGUAUCACGUUCGCCUCACAUAAGGUGGGAAUCCGCGAAAGGUCUCGAGUUCGAUCCUCGGCGACAGUA